rnacentral:rRNA from 1 species
AUUGAACGCUGGCGGCAUGCCUUACACAUGCAAGUCGAACGGCAGCACGGACUUCGGUCUGGUGGCGAGUGGCGAACGGGUGAGUAAAGUAUCGGAACGUACCUUUCAGUGGGGGAUAACGUAGCGAAAGUUACGCUAAUACCGCAUAUUCUGUGCGCAGGAAAGCAGGGGAUCGCAAGACCUUGCGCUGAUUGAGCGGCCGAUAUCAGAUUAACUAGUUGGUGGGGUAAAGGCCUACCAAGGCGACGAUCUGUAGCGGGUCUGAGAGGAUGAUCCGCCACACGGGAACUGAGACACGGUCCAGACUCCUACGGAAGGCAGCGGUGGGGAAUUUUGGACAAUGGGGGCAACCCUGAUCCAGCCAUGCCGCGUGAGUGAAGAAGGCCUUCGGGUUGUAAAGCUCUUUCGGCCGGGAAGAAAUCGUAUCAGCUAAUACCUGGUGCGGAUGACGGUACCGGCAUAAGAAGCACCGGCUAACUACGUGCCAGCAGCCGCAGUAACAC